AUUGAACGCUGGCGGCAGGCCUAACACAUGCAAGUCGAGCGAGCGGCGGACGGGUGAGUAAUGUCUGGGAAACUGCCUGAUGGAGGGGGAUAACUACUGGAAACGGUAGCUAAUACCGCAUACCAUCAGAUGUGCCCAGAUGUGAUGAGCUAGUAGGUGGGGUAACGGCUCACCUAGGCGACGAACCCUAGCUGGUCUGAGAGGAUGACCAGCCACACUGGAACUGCGACACGGUCCAGACUCCUACGUGAGGCAGCGUUUGGGAAUAUUGCACAAUGGGCGCAAGCCUGAUGCAGCCAUGCCGCGUGUGUUAAGAAGGCCUUCGGGUUGUAAAGCACUUUCAGCGGGGAGGCGUUACCCGCAGAAGAAGCACCGGCUAACUCCGUGCCAGCAGCCGCGGUAAUAC
rnacentral:rRNA from 1 species